ensembl:lncRNA
GCCCACCUUGUCCUGCUACCUGGCAAUGGAAGUCUGCACUGCUGCUCCACAGAACAGCAUUCCAGGGUCUCACAUACUGAAGGUGAAGAGCAGACAUCAGAGUAUAUAAUUUCUGGUUUUGUUUAUGUAAGGUACAGGCUUAUGCGAGAGAGAGAUGGCAGACCUGAAUACAUCCCUCAGCUGUGAUGUGGAGGAUGGAGGUAAAAGUGCCAAUGACUGGACUGGUGUCUUAUGUAAGGAAAUCAACAGAAAGAAGAUACCCGGCAUGAAGACAAGCCUUGGUGAGGGUAUCCCAACAGAUAGCGCAGUGAACAGAGGCACUGAUCACAGACCAGCUCCCAGAUAACUAGACAGAAGACUCUAGAAAAGGUCCUACCUUUCUGUGUUUCGGCUACAGUAAUUCAUCACUGAGAAGUUUCAUGAUUAAGUGCCAUCAUUUUUUGGAACAGCUGUAAUGCAAUAACAAUGCCUAGAAUGUACCAGUGUAAGUCUCCCAGUCGUGUC